GCCCGGGUGGUGGAAUUGGUAGACACUGCAGACUUAAAAUCUGUUGUCCGAAUGGACGUGCCGGUUCGAGUCCGGCCCUGGGUA
rnacentral:tRNA from 1 species